ACGUAGGGGGCAAGCGUUAUCCGGAUUUACUGGGUGUAAAGGGAGUGUAGACGGCUGUGCAAGUCUGAAGUGAAAGGCAUGGGCUCAACCUGUGGACUGCUUUGGAAACUGUGCAGCUAGAGUGUCGGAGAGGUAAGUGGAAUUCCUAGUGUAGCGGUGAAAUGCGUAGAUAUUAGGAGGAACACCAGUGGCGAAGGCGGCUUACUGGACGAUGACUGACGUUGAGGCUCGAAAGCGUGGGGAGCAAACAG
rnacentral:rRNA from 1 species